rnacentral:rRNA from 1 species
UGGGGAAUCUUGGACAAUGGGCGCAAGCCUGAUCCAGCCAUGCCGCGUGAGUGAAGAAGGCCUUAGGGUUGUAAAGCUCUUUUGCCAGGGACGAUAAUGACGGUACCUGGAGAAUAAGCACCGGCAAACUUCGUGCCAGCAGCCGCGGUAAUACGAAGGGAGCUAGCGUUGUUCGGAAUCACUGGGCGUAAAGCGCACGUAGGCGGAUUUGUUAGUCAGGGGUGAAAUCCCGGGGCUCAACCUCGGAACUGCCUUUGAUACUGCAAAUCUCGAGUCCGGAAGAGGUGGGUGGAAUUCCUAGUGUAGAGGUGAAAUUCGUAGAUAUUAGGAAGAACACCGGUGGCGAAGGCGGCCCACUGGUCCGGUACUGACGCUGAGGUGCGAAAGCGUGGGGAGCAAA